UGGGGAAUAUUGCACAAUGGGCGAAAGCCUGAUGCAGCAAUGCCGCGUGUGUGAAGAAGGCCUGCGGGUUGUAAAGCACUUUCGGUAGGGAAGAUUAUGACGGUACCUACAGAAGAAGCACCGGCUAACUCCGUGCCAGCAGCCGCGGUAAUACGGAGGGUGCAAGCGUUAAUCGGAAUUACUGGGCGUAAAGCGCGCGUAGGCGGUCUUGUAAGUCGGAUGUGAAAUCCCCGGGCUCAACCUGGGAACUGCAUUCGAUACUGCUCGACUAGAGUAUGGAAGAGGGAAGGGGAAUUCCGGGUGUAGCGGUGAAAUGCGUAGAUAUCCGGAGGAACACCAGUGGCGAAGGCGCCUUCCUGGGCCAAUACUGACGCUGAGGCGCGAAAGCGUGGGGAGCAAACAGGAUUAGAUACCCCCGUAGUCCCUGAGCGGGCUGGCAAGGCGCAU
rnacentral:rRNA from 1 species